UACGGGGGGGGCAAGCGUUGUUCGGAAUUACUGGGCGUAAAGGGCUCGUAGGCGGCCAACUAAGUCAGACGUGAAAUCCCUCGGCUUAACCGGGGAACUGCGUCUGAUACUGGAUGGCUUGAGUUUGGGAGAGGGAUGCGGAAUUCCAGGUGUAGCGGUGAAAUGCGUAGAUAUCGAGAGGAACACCUGCGGCGAAGGCGGGUUGCUGGGCCGACACUGACGCUGAUGCGCGAAAGCCAGGGGAGCGAACGGG
rnacentral:rRNA from 1 species